rnacentral:rRNA from 1 species
CCUACGGGCGGCAGCAGUGAGGAAUAUUGGUCAAUGGGCUUACGCCUGAACCAGCCAAGUCGCGUGAGGGAAGACUGCCCUAUGGGUUGUAAACCUCUUUUGUCAGGGAGCAAAUGGCGCUACGUGUAGCGUUAUCGAGAGUACCUGAAGAAAAAGCAUCGGCUAACUCCGUGCCAGCAGCCGCGGUAAUACGGGGGAUGCGAGCGUUAUCCGGAUUUAUGGGGUUUAAAGGGUGCGUGGGCGGAGCGUUAAGUCAGUGGUAAAAUUGAGGGGCCAAACCCCUUCCCGCCAUUGAAACUGGCGCUCUUGAGUGGAAGAGAAGUAUGCGGAAUGCGUGGUGUAGCGGUGAAAUGCAUAGAUAUCACGCAGAACCCCGAUUGCGAAGGCAGCAUGCCGGCUUCCGACUGACGCUGAAGCACGAAAGCGUGGGGAUCGAACAGGAUUAGAUACCCGGGUAGUC